rnacentral:rRNA from 1 species
GUGGGGAAUUUUGGACAAUGGGCGCAAGCCUGAUCCAGCAAUGUCGCGUGCAGGAAGAAGGCCUUCGGGUUGUAAACUGCUUUUGUACGGAACGAAACGGUCCUGGUUAAUACCCGGGGCUAAUGACGGUACCGUAAGAAUAAGCACCGGCUAACUACGUGCCAGCAGCCGCGGUAAUACGUAGGGUGCAAGCGUUAAUCGGAAUUACUGGGCGUAAAGCGUGCGCAGGCGGUGCUGUAAGACAGGCGUGAAAUCCCCGGGCUUAACCUGGGAAUUGCGCUUGUGACUGCAGUGCUGGAGUGCGGCAGAGGGGGAUGGAAUUCCGCGUGUAGCAGUGAAAUGCGUAGAUAUGCGGAGGAACACCGAUGGCGAAGGCAAUCCCCUGGGCCUGCACUGACGCUCAUGCACGAAAGCGUGGGGAGCAAACAGGAUUAGAAACCCCAGUAGUCC